GAAUGGGCUUGUGGGUAUAUUUAGUCAUUCAUUUUUGAUCAGGAGAAAGAAGACAGCCAUCACUUGAAAGGUAAAGCUUCAGUGACUGAAGGAGUGUGGACUUUUUGAAUUUUAAGAACAGUAAAGUUGGAACACAGCAGAGGGUGUGUAAUAAAAGACAAUAUAGAUUGGAAGGAAGACUGAUGAAGAAAAAUAACAGCAUGAUUGAGGCACACUACUGAGUUC
rnacentral:lncRNA from 1 species